rnacentral:rRNA from 1 species
GAUGAACGCUGGCGGCGUGCUUAACACAUGCAAGUCGAACGAUGAAGCUGGAGCUUGCUCUGGUGGAUUAGUGGCGAACGGGUGAGUAACACGUGAGCAACCUGCCCCUGACUCUGGGAUAACAGCCGGAAACGGCUGCUAAUACCGGAUAUGCACCAUGAACGCAUGUUCUGUGGUGGGAAAGAUUUUUCGGUUGGGGAUGGGCUCGCGGCCUAUCAGCUUGUUGGUGAGGUAAUGGCUCACCAAGGCGUCGACGGGUAGCCGGCCUGAGAGGGUGACCGGCCACACUGGGACUGAGACACGGCCCAGACUCCUACGGGAGGCAGCAGUGGGGAAUAUUGCACAAUGGGCGAAAGCCUGAUGCAGCAACGCCGCGUGAGGGAUGACGGCCUUCGGGUUGUAAACCUCUUUUAGGAGGGAAGAAGCGAGAGUGACGGUACCUGCAGAAAAAGCGCCGGCUAACUACGUG